rnacentral:lncRNA from 1 species
UCUUAAGAACAGCUCCCGUCCUUCCUUACUUGGGCUUUUCAAACUCCCCUCCAUCUUUGGUCUAUUUCUGAGACCUAUCACUGACAGGUCCAGUAAGACACCAGGCUGACGAGUGUCACCAUGUCAUGAGAUCUUCCCCAACCCUGAAAAUUCCUCAAUUGGGAAGCUCCUGAAUGUGUGAAGCAGCAUAACCCUCUGUUCUCUCUUGCACUAAGAAUUUGCUGGUCUGUAUUCCGGAUUACCAGUGGAAAGAAGUUUGCAAAUAUAACAAAUGCCCUUUAAUUUCCACUUUCUUGCAUAUCUUUGAAAGUAAGAAACAUAGUAAAAGAAACAGAGAACUACAAUAGAAGGACUGAUCUUGAUGGCAAGAAGAUAAUGGAAGUAGCAGAGAAGAGGGGCUUACCUAACCAAUCAGUUUUUUAACUGCUUGAAAGUAAGGUAUGGUGGGGUCUGUCCCUGUCUGUCUGUCUCUCUCAAAAUGGGGCUAGAAGGAGGGGUGGUUUGAAAGGACUUGCGCAGGGAAGGCAAAUUUUUCAACAUUCAGGUUAGUUAUUGCAAAAUAACUCUAGGAUCUCUUAGCGUAUGUUCCCUAUGGAGUUUUGAUACAUUCAGUAAUACAGGGAAAUUUAUAAAAAGGGGUUUUCAAGAAUGCAUGACAAAUUUAUGCCAGCACAUUAUUACACUAAGCAUAGCAGGAAUUUCCAGAAAGGGUUUUGACUUCCAAAAGAACAGUGUGUCCACAGAGAACAGGCCCUUUUUGGAUUAGUGCUGGGGAACUACACAAUGCACAGGCAUAGUGAAGCAUGAGUCUGAGCAGAAACCUCACCAAGAAGAGCCAGUACUGGCGGCUGGCUGCCUGGUCUCCUCACACUCGUGGCACAUCCCAACACAGUUGCUCUUUUCAGCGGUAUUUUCAGAAAACGAAGGGCUGGCAUUUGUAAACAUGUUGCUUGGGUGGAAAGAUGCCCAAGCACAAAGCAAGCUGUAAAAAUCCGUGCAGUACAUUUUGCCAGACCACAACAAAUAAAAGCAGGGCCCCAAAGGAAACCCAGCAACACUCUUUUAAAUUGUGAGCUAAGGGAAAGCUAUCGGAUGUAAAGUAUAACUACCUGCAGGUGGGGUGGUGGGGACCCAACUGCUCGUGCCAGGUAAGGCCAAGUAAGGCCAGAUUAAACACACCGCUGCCGCCCGCCACCUUUCCUCCUGACGAUGCAACCACAGGACUGCUUUAUUCCUCCUUCAUGCUCUAUUUCCUACACGUGAGUCCAUCUGCUGGGUCCAAGUCCCCUGGAAAGUGUUCCUUGCAUCUCUAGGCUGGAGCACGUGUGCACUGUGUUUCCUUGCUGGGGUCUGACUCAUGUUCUAGGCUUGGUGAACAACCCAAAGUGAGCCCUGGCUUCUUUGCUUUUUCUAUCCCUGGCACAAUACUUGGCUCCUUGUUGGAACUCACGAAGUAGUCGUCGAGUGACCACUGAAGCAGUGCCCCUUAGUCAAAAGAGAUAGACCUAUUAUAACACACCCCACCUUCCUGGUCCCACCCCAGCCCUAGGUGGUUGCUGGUACCAUGUCAUCUUUAGAGGUUUGCACAUUGGCCCUGAAUUUAGGAGCGGAAAAUAAAUGACAACGUCACAGUCAAACACCACCUUGUCACGCCUGUUGAAAAAUAACCUGAAACCUGUCACCUAUGUUAAAACUGUAGAAUAAAAUAUGAUUAUAAACUUAAGGGUCAUCAUUUAUUCAGAUUGUACCUGUACUCCUCAAGAGUUAACCACCCUUGAUUUCAUGACAGAUAAAAAGAAAGGAAGGGAGGAGAGGGGAAGGGGGGGAAGGAUGGGGAGGCUUUAGCCAUGAAAUUUCCCAUCUCUGACAAAAGAACUCUGAGCAUAACAAGGAGCUACUUGCUAAGGCUUUUUGUGGUUUGGUCUCCUCAUCUCUAAAAUGGAAAAAUCAACCCCAUAGCCAAGGCUUGUGUUGAGGACUGGGUAAGAUGAUCCACUUGAGAUAGCUGACACAGAGAUGGUCUCCAACCCUGCAUGCCGGGUCCACCCCCUCCCCUGCCCACCUCCUGCAGCAGGUCAGGCAGGCACUGAAUGCACUCACUGAGCUGCCAGAUGAAAAAGUCCCUCGGAGUUGUACUUGAUACAGAGAGCAAAACAAACAACCUACAGAUCACACACAGGUUUCUUUUUAAUUCCAGAGAGCUACACACCUCCACAACCCUGUGCCAGGAAGGCAGAUAACCGAUACCGCCUUUCCCCCUCCCCACUCCCGAGCUCUCUUUUACUCUUCUCAGAAAAUCUCUUUGCAUAAAACAGUACAAAACAAAACACUCUAAAAGGCAUCUUCCAGCCAGGGAGGGCCAGUGGAUCCUGGGAGAGUAGGAGUUUAACAAUCAAUUCAGCUUGCUGGCUAGAAUAGGGCAUUUUUUGUUCUUUUCUGAAACCUUCUUAGGUGAUGACCCACCGCUGCAUGAGAUGUGUCCAUCUUAUUUACCUCCCUCGUUGCCUACCUUUCUCCUGCCACCACCCCUGGGAAAGGCAACCAGUCCCUGUCUCCAAAGGCAUAUGAACAGAAACAUUCUCUCCCUAUCCUCAAGGAGAGAUCUCAAAGCUUCUACAAAGCAAAACCCAAACAUUUGGGGCCUGGCUUUCUCCAAAGAUCUCCAGCUUUCUAGGUGUUACUACGAAGGUACUUAUUUAUAAUGGUUUAAAGCAAGUCUCACUAAUUGCACAUUCUUGUGGGAGUCCAGUGCCCUCCUCAAAAUUUCUGUAUACUCCUGGAGGGUUUACAGUCACUAUCAUCUAUUGACUCUGAUCUGCUGGUCCUACUAAGUGUCAUUCGCAUUUUACCUCCUGUUGUGAUGCUGUUUUGCCCCACAUACUAACUCUAAUAAGGAAACCAUAGGAGUUUUCAUUUCCCAGAGAUGAGUCUCCAGUCGCUUGGCAGUCUUUUAUGACCUCUGUGAUGGGCAGAGGUCACAUCCUAGCCAAUUCCC